rnacentral:misc_RNA from 1 species
GAAAUGCGAUAAGUAAUGUGAAUUGCAGAAUUCAGUGAAUCAUCGAAUCUUUGAACGCACAUUGCGCCCGGUGGUAUUCCGCCGGGCAUGCCUGUUCGAGCGUCAUUAUAACCACUCAAGCCUGGCUUGGUAUUGGGGUACGCGAUCCCGCGGCCCCUAAAAUCAGUGGCGGUGCCGGUUGGCUCUAAGCGUAGUAAUACUCCUCGCUACAGACCCCUUCCGGUUCCCUGCCAGAACCCCCCAUUUUUACAGGUUGACCUCGGAUCAGGUAGGGAUACCCGCUGAACUUAA